GUCAUGCUCAGUUGGUAGAGAGUGAGACUUAAUCUCAGUCGUGAGUUCGAGCCCCACGUUAGGCA